GGACAUGAGUUUGAAUUCUGGAGGCAUUCCUCUUGAAGAAUGCUUGAACCAUUAAUAAAUGUUUUCUGGUGUUUUUUUGUCAAUGCUAAUUUCCAUCUGAUGGAACACGGAGAGGAAAGCCCGGAACAUCUGUGUACUUCUGCAUGAAAUACGGCAUGGUGUACAUGGAGGAAUGGAGUGAUAGCAGAAAUUCAUCCAACAGCCAGGUGGUAAAAUACUGUGCUCAAUCCCCAACAGUUGUCUUUUCACCUGUAUCUUUCAGAGGAAGAGCUGUGGAAGGAUGACCUCUCCAUAAUAGGAGAGGGAAGAGCUGUGGAAGGAUGACCUCUCCAUGAUGGGAGAUGAAGACACUUUUGUAAUGCAACUGAAGACACCCAUCCCAGAGGCGAUUAUAUCACCCUAUGGAACACCAGGCUUGCAGGAGGAAGUCCCUGGGUUACCAUCACUCCUGACCAAGUUUUGGUGUCUGAAGAGAGAAUUUUACUGAGCACUCACUUCUUGUUCCUUCAGUGUGGCCUUGGAGAUUUCCUGCAGCCCAACAAAUGCACACAUUUACAAAUGGGGACAGAUGGAAUGCUUCUGUGAAAUUCCUGUCAAUACCUAUGAUGGGUUUCAGGAUCAAGCCACAAGACAGGUUGAAUGAUAUAGGAGGUAUUGGUCCAGAUUUUGGUGGAUUGGCAUAAUCACUUGUAUGAGAUUUAGGAUGCAUUCCCAAGGCCUCAACUUUGAACUAAUCAGCUGUGAAGACCAUGGGAUAGCCUGGAGUUAUAUGAAAACUCUAUGCACCUACUAUAAAGCCAGAAAGUUAUCAAUUCCCCCACUUGGUGUUUCCAGAUGCAUGGACUCAAAUCUAUUAAUGCAUCUCCUUACAAGUAGGACAAAGGUGGCCCAUGACAUUUUGGAAGGCAGGAGCAGCACUCACUGAAGAGCUUUGUCCGAGCUUUAACCAAGGUCCUUCCCAUGUUAUCCUAGACAAGGGCCCUGUGGAAUGCAACAGCAGAUACCUGACCUGUAGCAAUUGUAAGAGCUCUUUGCAUGUAGUGCAAUGAAUUAGGAGAACUCCAAUGCUAUGUCACCCAAGGCUUUCCAGAAGGGGUCUCGAGUAAGCAUUUGCUAUGGUAAAGGAACUGUGCGACUGAGAGACUCCUGGCUAGUGUCUAUGAUGAGAAUUAAUCUUGUUGAAAACAGAAGACACCACAAAAAUCAAGCUGGAUAGGAUUACACUGAAGCCCAGAACACGGAGGUGAAAACGGUGGUAAAAUCUGUGCUCAACCUCCAACAGUCCUCUUUAUGCCAGUGUCUUUUAGAGGGAAGAGCUGUAUAACCAUGACCUCUGCAUAAUGGGAGAGGAAAUCCGGGAUCACUUAUGUCCUUCUGCAUGAAAUACGGCAUGGUGUACUUGGAGGAAUAGAGUGACAGCAGAGUUUCAUCCAAUAGAUGAGGAACCUGAGGCAAUGCAACUGAAGACAUCAUCCUGGAUGCAGUUGUAUCACCCUACAAUAAUGCAAGGAAGUACUAGAACUCCAGGACCAUGUAACCCAAGGCUUGUGGUAAUGAGUAGCUGAUUUAUGACCAGUGUUUUUCAGAGGAAGGUGCUGAGGAAGAAGGGGUGUGCCAUGGAUGGGAGAUGAGGACCUGGUGGAAUGCAACAGCAGAUACCUGACCCAUAGCAAUUGUACGACCUCUUUGUGUUUACUGCAAUGAAUUAGGAGAACUCCAAUGCUCUGUCAUCCAAGGCUUUCCAAAAGGGGCCUCCAGGAAGCAUUUACUAUGGUAAAGGUACUGUGUGACUGGAAAGACUCCUGGCUUGUAUCAAUGAGGAGCAGUGAUCUUGUGGAAGACAGAUGAUGACACAAAAAUCAUGUUGGAUAGGAUUACACUGAGGCCUAGACCAUGGAGGUGAAAGCGAGAGAAGAGCUGUGUGAUGAUGACCUCUGCAUAAUGGGAGAGAAAAUCCAGGAUCACUUAUGUCCUUCUGCAUGAAAUACGGCAUGGUGUACUUGGAGGAAUGGAGUGACAGCAGAGUUUCAUCCAAUAGAUGAGGAACCUGAGGCAAUGCAACUGAAAACAUCAUCCUGGAGGCAAUUGUAGCACCCCACAAUAAUGCAAGGAAGUAGUGGAACUCCAGGACUAUGUAACUCAAGGCUUGCAGUAACGAGUAGCUGAUUUUUGACCAGCGUUUCUCAGAGGAAGGUGCUGAGGAAGAAGGGGUGUUCCAUGAAUGGGAGAUGAAGACCCUUUGGAAUGCAACAGGAAAUACCUGACAAUUUAUGGCCUAUUUAUAUGUACUGUAAUGACUUGGAAGAACCACAAAGCAAUAUCACCCAAGGCUUUCAGGAUGGGGCCUCCAGUAAGCAUUUGCUAUGCUGGGUGGUAAAAUCUGUGUUCAAUCCAAAAUAGUGGUGUUUGCACCUGGGUCUUUCACAGGGAAGAGCUGUGGAAGGAUGACCUCUCCAUAAUGGAAUAUGAGGACUCUGUGGUAAUGCAACUGAAGAUGCUGACCCUGGAGGUGAUUGUAUCACACCACCAUAAUGCAAGAAUGUAGUAGAACUGCAGUACCAUGUAACCCCAGGCUUGCAGGAAGGAGUCCCUGAUUUGUGACUGGUGUUGUUCAGAGGGAAGUGCUGAGGAAGAAGGAGUAUGCCAUGAGUGGGAGAUGGGGACACUGUGGAAUACAACAGCAGAUACCUGACCUGUGGCAAUUGUAUGACCUAUUUGUAUAUACUGCAAUGAAUUAGAAGAACUCCAAUUCAGUGUCAACCAAGGUUUUCAGGAAGGGGCUUCUGAUAAAGAAGAGGACACUGGGGAACUGCAACUGAAGAUGCCCAUCCCAGAGGCAAGAGUAUCACUGAACCAUAAUUAAAGAGCAGUAGAAUUCCAAUACCUGGAAACCCAGACUUACAGGAAGGAGUCCCUGAGGGAAGAGCUGUGGAGGGAUGACCUCUCCAUGAUGGGAGUUUAUUGCAGAUUUGUGACUGGUGUCCUUCAGAGGGAAGUGCUGUGGAAGGAGGAGUAGGCCAUUAAUGGGAGAGGGAAGAGCUGUGGAAGGAUGUCCUCUCCAUAAUGGGAGAUUUGUGACUAGUGUCCUUCAGAGGGAAGUGCUGUGGAAGGAGGAGCAGGCCAUUAAUGUGAGAUGGGGACCCUGUGGAACACAACAGCAGAUUCCUGACCUGUGGCAUCUCUGUGACCUCUUUAUGAGGACCCUGUGGUAAUGCAACUGGAGGAGAUUGUAUCACCCCAUGAUAAUGCAAUGAAGUAGUAGAACUCCAGUACCAUCCAUGCCCAGGCUUACAGGAAGGAGUCCCUGAUUUGUGACUGGUAUCUUUCAGAGGGAAAUGCUGCGUAAGGAGAAUCACGCCAUUAAUGUGAGAUGAGAAACCUGUGGUAAUGCAACUGAAGACACCCAUCUUGGAGGGGAUUGUAUCACCUCACGAUAAUGCCAGGAAGUAGUAGAACUCCAGUUACAUGGAAGCCCAGGCUUGCAGGAAGGAAUCCCUGAUUUGUGACUGGUGUCCUUCAGAGGGAAGUGCUGUGGAAGGAGGAGCAGGCCAUUAAUGGGAGAUGAGGACCCUGUGGUAAUGCAACUGAAGACACCCAUCCCAGAGGAGAUUGUAUCACCCCAUGAUAAUGCAAGGAAAUAGUACCAUGGAUGCCCAGGCUUUCAGGAUGGAAUCCCUGACUUCUGACUGGUGGCUUUCGGAAGGAAGUGCCAUGGAAGGAGGAGCAGGCCAUUAAUGUGAGGUGAAUGAAAUAUUUUGACUGAUGUUUUACCAUUUGACUGAGAGCUAGUGAAUCCUACAACCUCAGACCCCUGCCAUGACUUGAUUCCAUAACAUGAAGUCAUGAUCUGAGGUUUGUCCUGAAGUUUUUCCUAGCUGAAUUGUAAAAUCUGUGCUCAAUCCCCAACAUUCGUCUUUCCACCUGAGUCUUUCAGAGUUUCAGAGGGAAGAACUAUGCAAGGACGACCUCUCCAUAACAGGAGAUGAGGACCCUGUGGUAAUGCAACUGAAGACAACCAUCCUGGAGGCGAUUGUAUCACUCCAUGAUAAUGUAAGGAAGUAGUAGAACUCCAGUACCAUGGAAACCUAGGCUUGCAGGAAGGAGUACCUGAGGGAAGUGCCAUGGAAGGAGGUGCAGGCCAAUAAAGUGAGAAGGGGAGCCUGUGGAAUGCAACUCCAGACAUAUGACCUGUGGCAACUGUAGGACUGGUUUGUAUGUACUGCAAAGAAUUAAAAUAACUCCAGUGCAAUGCCAGCCAAGGCUUUCAGGAAGGGGCCUCCAGUAAGCAUUGCCAGUGGUAAAGUACUUGUAUGACUGGAGAGAAUUCUGGCUUGAGUAAUGAUGAGAACUGAUUUUGUUGAAGACAGAUGAUGACAGAAGAAUCAUGUUCAAUAGGAUUAUGCCGAGGACCUAACCUUUAACAUGAAAGGGCCGGAUGGUAAAAUCUGCACUCAAUCCCCAACAUUUGUCUUUCUUCCUGAGUCUUUGGGAAGAACUGUGGAAGGAUAACCUCUCCAUAAUGAUGAGGACCCUGUGGUAAUGUAACUGAAGAUACCCAUCCUGGAGGUGCUUGUAUCACCCCAUGAUAAUGCAAUGAAGUAGUGGAACUCCAGUACAAUGGAUGCCCAGGCUUGCAGGAUGGAAUCCCUGGGAAGUGCCGUGGAAGAACGAACAGGCCAUUAAUGUGAGAAGGAAGAGCUGUGGAAGGAUGACCUCUCCAUAAUGGGAGGUGAGGACCCUGUGGUAAUGUAACUGAAGACACCCAUCCCAGAGGUGAUUGUAUCACUCCAUGACAAUGCAAGGAAAUAGUAGAACUCCAGUACCAUGGAAGCCCAGGCUUGCAGGGAGUCCCUGAUUUGUGACUGGUGUCCUUCAGAGGGAAGUGCUGUGGAAGGAGGAGCAGGCCAUUAAUGUGAGUUCAAAGAGCUGUGGAAGGAUGACCUCUCCAUAAUGGGAGGACACUGGUCCAUUGGAGAGGAAAAGCCAGGAUCACCUAUGCCUUCUGAGUGACAUAGGGCAUGGUUUACAUGGAGGAAUAGAGUGAUAGCAGAAUUUCCUCCCACAGGUGAGGAAUCUGUGGUAAUGCAACUGAAGACACCCAUCUCCAGAGGCGAUUGUAUCACCCCAUGGUAAUGCAAGGAAGUAGUAGAACUCCAGUACCAUGGAAGCCCAGGCUUGCAGGAAGGAGUCCCUGAUUUGUGACUCUUGUUUUUCACAAGGAAGGCCCAGGAAGGAAGCGCAGUCCAUGAAUGGGAGCCUCUGGAGUUCCUAUAGCCCUGAGAAUGCUCACAUCUACAAAUGGGGGCCGAUCAAGUGCUGUUGUGAAAUUCCUUUAAAUACAUUCCCUUGUUUGCUUGACGAUGGCACAUUUUAUGCACAGACUAUUUUUCUAAUUAUCAGUCCAGAGUUCACAGUUUGGCAAAACCCCUAAUAAGAGAUUUCUGAUGCUUUCCCAAUGCCAAUAUUCCACUUGCCUCACCUUUGUGCAUAUGUGCUGGGAAGACCUUGGGAUGGCCUGGUGUUAUACGGGAACUCUAUGAACAUACUCUAAAGCCAGAAACUUUUCAUGUUCUCCACUUUGUGUGUUCUGAUAAAUUAUGUUCAACCCAAUUAAUGAAUUUUUUACCAAGGUGACCAUUGUGACCAUUACAUUUUGUAAGGCAGUAACAGCUCUUCCUUGAGAGCAUUUUCCAGCUUCAACCUAGAUACCCAUGUUGUCCUGGAUGGUGACUCUGAGGAAAUACAAUUGCAGAUACAUGACUUCUGGCAAAUAUAUUACCUUUUUGCAGUGCAAUUAAUUAUUAAACUCCUAUGAGACAUAACCCAAGGUUUUCUGAAGCAGCCUCUGCAAAACUUUUCACACAUUGAGGUUAUCUUUGUGUCAAUAAUCACAGCAUUUCUCAUCAAAAGAGAUCAUGGUUGAAAAAUCAAGUGCAUUAGGAUUAUGCUAAUAUUACCCAAUGUUGCUAAUCAGUAUUGUGAUACCAGGAUUUUGAGAAAAGGAAGAGUUUUUUUUGUUUGUUUGUUUUUAAGAAAGGCAAACAAGGGGACAGUUGUAAAAGCUCAACUCUGUCUCCCUGGGACUACAGACCUUAAGGCUUUUAUGGGAUGCAAACAAAGCUUUGUGGAGAUGGUUUCAUUAUUUAACUUGACAUAUAUUAAUUGGUUAUGUUUUGGUUAUAACUAAUAGGGAGUGUGCAAGUACAUUCCUGAGAAGUCUUUGAAAUCUGACCAAUGGCCUCUGUGGUAUGUGUUAACUGGCUGUGAAUGAGUGUUGUAAAUGAGGACCAAACUUCUGUUUACAGCAAAAGGCUGUAACUGUUUACAGUUUUAAGUUACUCAACGUAAGAUAACAAUUAUAAUAAUAGGUAAAAUAAAUAAGCUAAAAUAACCACUACAAUUACAAAUAGAACUGCUGUAGUCACAGACAGUGCUUAAACUUAGGCCCAGACCUUGAUGGUGACACAGGUGCAGCAAUUUGGGAACCUUUAUUUUCUUUCUAGUGCAGGGAUUGGUAUUGAGAUGUGAGAAACAUCAUGGCAAAUUUGAUUGUCUAUAGCCUAUUCUAUAUUUCUACAGAAGCCAUCCAUUUCACUACUGGAAGCCUUUUAUGUUCUGUUUUACCUAGUGGUAUGUUGUAUAUCUGUACUGAAUAGUAGUUUUUCACCUCUGUCUUUCAAGGAAAGAGCUGUGGAACAAUGUCCUGUACAUAGGGGGAGUUUGUUUAUUUAUUUAUUUAUUUAUUUAUUUAUUUAUUUAUUUAUUUAUUUAUCUCAACUAAAAACUGCAGUUUUUAAUAAUGGAAACAACUGGCCAUUCCAGAAACAAUUUUAGGGGAAAAAAAUCUUCCCUAUAAAAAAUAAAAUUAAACUCAUCAAAAUUAUAAAUAUUAUAACUUUUUACUUCUGCAAUUUAAAAUGCUCCCCUGCAAUACUACCCCUUCACUUAAUAUCUUUCCUGUACCAGCACAUAUUGAAGAGAAAACAGUAUUACAGCAAAGCUUACAUAGAUUAACAUAAGAAUUUGUAAAAUUAGUUUUAAAAAUUUUUCUUUGGCCUUAGUGACCUUUUUCUUCUUUUAAACAUUAAAAAUGCUGCUGCAGUAACCAGAGUUUAGGAGAGAACAUCAGUCUUCCAAGAACCGUGGAUUGACAGAAUUUCAAUACAGUAACUUUUCCAAAUCACAACCUGUAGUGCACAUGACAGUAAUGAGGUUCUGGAUAAUACAGAUGAGGAUGCCUAUUUCAGACAAGCUACUUCAAGUAAAAAAAAAAAAAAAAGAAAUUCACAGAUACCCAUCAGCUACCGCUUUAGGUUCUAACAGUGUCUUAGUCUGAGAAACAAAUGCUUCACAAAAUAUAAACUUACAGAUGAACAGGGUGGGUAAUUGAAAGACCAGAUGGUUGAUAACAGGAUCCUCAAACCCAAGCCAUAGUCUGAAUAGUAAAACCAUUCUAAAAAUCAUGAAAGCAUUCCCUGAAUGAUAAAGUGUUAGGUGACAAUGUCACUAAAACCUCAUCGAUGCACUAAAAAGAAAUUACAUGCAAAAUGAAACAAGAUGUGCCGUACAUAUUUCAUAGCUAGUUCUACUUUUUUUUUUUUUUAACUUUCCUUAAAAUCUUAGGAAGGUAUGAUUUGUCUCAGUAACUUGUUUGACACAGCAAAAGCAGCACUUGAAUCUGCCUCCUACAAGAUGGGUAUUCUUCGAAAAGUCAGAAGAGAAAUGUAAUAAAAGGCACAGUUGAGUGAUUUAUUUUUGACUGACCUGUUACUGCUGGAAAUGUUAGCUAGAGAACUCUACCUCUCAUGCCCCUAUUCAAGUUGUUUGAAUAACAGGAAUGUCAGGCUCAGUGUUUGUUCUGAAUGGGUGUUUGAAUUAUUGAGGGCUUCCUCUUGAGGAAACCUUGACCCAUUUAUGAACAUGAUAUGACUGGGUUUGGAUGUGGUAUUUGCACCUAUUUGUAUGCCCAAGGGAAUACUUCUUCUCAAUUUCUUGGUGAAGCUCAAUUUAUUCUUAAUUCAUCACACAUUUCAUUCAAUUUCAGGUUUCUAGGGACAAUGAUUAUUUCCAAAAAUGGGAUGCUGUUUUAUAUUUUGGAAAAUGCCAGGAUUACCAAUGUAAUUUUGCAUGAAAUAUGGCAUUAUAUAUAUGGAGGAGUAUCUAUGUAGUACAAAUCUGUGUACAAUCCAUGUAACUUUUUUCUCCUCUACCUCUCAGAAGGAAGAUGUGUGUAUUAUGUGCUCUCUAUGAUGGGAAGUGAGAAAAUUAUUUUUUUUUUAUUUUUUAUUUUUCUGCAAAUUUCCUGUGCUGACUUUAUUAAAGGAGAUGUCCCCCUU